AGGUCAUAGUGAUCCGGUGGUUCUGAAUGGAAGGGCCAUCGCUCAACGGAUAAAAGGUACUCCGGGGAUAACAGGCUGAUACCGCCCAAGAGUUCAUAUCGACGGCGGUGUUUGGCACCUCGAUGUCGGCUCAUCACAUCCUGGGGCUGAAGUAGGUCCCAAGGGUAUGGCUGUUCGCCAUUUAAAGUGGUACGCGAGCUGGGUUUAGAACGUCGUGAGACAGUUCGGUCCCUAUCUGCCGUGGGCGCUGGAGAAUUGAGGGGGGCUGCUCCUAGUACGAGAGGACCGGAGUGGACGCAUCACUGGUGUUCGGGUUGUCAUGCCAAUGGCACUGCCCGGUAGCUAAAUGCGGAAGAGAUAAGUGCUGAAAGCAUCUAAGCACGAAACUUGCCCCGAGAUGAGUUCUCCCUGAGACUAUAAGUCUCCUGAAGGAACGUUAAAGACGAUGACGUUGAUAGGCCGGGUGUGUAAGCGCAGCGAUGCGUUGAGCUAACCGGUACUAAUGAACCGUGAGGCUUAACCUUACAACGCCGAAG
rnacentral:rRNA from 1 species